rnacentral:rRNA from 1 species
UACGAAGGGGGCUAGCGUUGCUCGGAAUCACUGGGCGUAAAAGCGCACGUAGGCGGAUCUUUAAGUCAGGGGUGAAAUCCUGGAGCUCAACUCCAGAACUGCCUUUGAUACUGGGGAUCUCGAGUCCGGAAGAGGUGAGUGGAACUCCGAGUGUAGAGGUGAAAUUCGUAGAUAUUCGGAAGAACACCAGUGGCGAAGGCGGCUCACUGGUCCGGUACUGACGCUGAGGUGCGAAAGCGUGGGGAGCAAACAGG